rnacentral:rRNA from 1 species
GAUGAACGCUGGCGGCGUGCCUAAUACAUGCAAGUCGAGCGAACGGACGAGAAGCUUUCUUCUCUGAUGUUAGCGGCGGACGGGUGAGUAACACGUGGAUAACCUACCUAUAAGACUGGGGUAACUUCGUGAAACCGGAGCUAAUACCGGCUAAUAUUUUGAACCGCAUGGUUCAAAAGUGAAAGACGGUCUUGCUGUCACUUAUAGAUGGAUCCGCGCUGCAUUAGCUAGUUGGUAAGGUAACGGCUUACCAAGGCCACGAUGCAUAGCCGACCUGAGAGGGUGAUCGGCCACACUGGAACUGAGACACGGUCCAGACUCCUACGGGAGGCAGCAGUAGGGAAUCUUGCGCAAUGGGCGAAAGCCUGACGGAGCAACGCCGCGUGAAUGAUGAAGGUCUUCGGGUCGUAAAACUCUGUUAGUAGGGAAGAACAGAUGAGUGAGUAACUGUGCACAUAUUGACGGUACCUGAACAGAAAGCCACGGCUAACUACGUG